rnacentral:rRNA from 1 species
GAUCCUGGCUCAGAUUGAACGCUGGCGGCAGGCUUAACACAUGCAAGUCGAGCGGAGACUUCGGUCUUAGCGGCGAACGGGUGAGUAAUAUAUCGGAACGUACCUUUCAGUGGGGGAUAACGUAGCGAAAGUUACGCUAAUACCGCAUAUUCUGUGAGCAGGAAAGCAGGGGAUCGCAAGACCUUGCGCUGAUUGAGCGGCCGAUAUCAGAUUAGCUAGUUGGUGAGGUAAAGGCUCACCAAGGCGACGAUCUGUAGCGGGUCUGAGAGGAUGAUCCGCCACACUGGAACUGAGACACGGUCCAGACUCCUACGGGAGGCAGCAGUGGGGAAUUUUGGACAAUGGGCGCAAGCCUGAUCCAGCCAUGCCGCGUGAGUGAAGAAGGCCUUCGGGUUGUAAAGCUCUUUCGGCCGGGAAGAAAUCGCACAGGUUAAUACCCUGUGUGGAUGACGGUACCGGAAUAAGAAGCACCGGCUAACUACGUG